rnacentral:rRNA from 1 species
UACGUAGGGUGCGAGCGUUUAAUCGGGAAUUACUGGGCGUAAAGCGUGCGCAGGCGGUUCGUUAUGUCCGAUGUGAAAGCCCCGAGCUCAACUUGGGAAUGGCAUUGGAAACUGGCGGGCUGGAGUGGUGGCAGAGGGGGGUGGAAUUCCUGGGUGUAGCGGUGAAAUGCGCAGGAUAUCAGGAGGAACACCGGUGGCGAAGGCGGGUCUCUGGGCCGAUACUGACGCUGAGGAGCGAAAGCAUGGGGAGCGAACAGG